rnacentral:rRNA from 1 species
UACGAAGGGGGCUAGCGUUGCUCGGAAUCACUGGGCGUAAAGGGUGCGUAGGCGGGUCUUUAAGUCAGGGGUGAAAUCCUGGAGCUCAACUCCAGAACUGCCUUUGAUACUGGCGAUCUUGAGUCCGGGAGGGGUGAGUGGAACUGCGAGUGUAGAGGUGAAAUUCGUAGAUAUUCGCAAGAACACCAGUGGCGAAGGCGGCUCACUGGCCCGGUACUGACGCUGAGGUGCGAAAGCGUGGGGAGCAAACAGG